CUGCGUCCUGACUGCUGAUCAAUGUAACUAGAUGCCUCACGAUUCCUCACGAUCCUUCCUGCGGCCUCCUUUCCCUUCUUAAACUACAAUGUCUCACCAUGUACCUCUGGCUGGCCUGGAACUCUGUAGACCAGACUGGCCUCAAAUUCACAGCCAUACAUCUGCCUUUGCCUCCUCAAUGCUGCUGGAAUCCAACACAGCACCUUGAGCAUGCUCAGGUGGACUACCUUGAGUUGUUGGUCACUGAUGUUGGUUGCCCACCGGAGCUGGAAGGUGGCCGAUGAUACCAUAUGCCUUGUUUGCCAGACAUACAGAAACUCAAGUGGAAUUGAGUUGGAGGCUUCAUCUCUGCUGGCUCACCUUUGUAGUGCCAGUAGGAGCUAUGCAGGCUGCAGGGGGAGAAUUGUCAGCAACAGUCCCACUCAGCUGUGAAUUCUGGGUGCAAACACUACAGACCAGCCAGAGAUGUGCCUACUUGUGCAGUCGGGGCAAGUCCAUUAUGGGGGACAACUCACUGUUUUCUGACUGGAUUUGAAGCCUGCUCAACAAGAGGCAAUUCCUGUCUGAUACUGUAUUCUGGUCAAAAGCCCAUGGCUGGGGAGGUCAGAGGCCCUGAUGGGGAAGCCACUGAUGUGUUGCCAAAUGAACAUCACAUCCCAUCAAAUUGCCUCUAGACAACUACAUUUACUCCUACAAAAUAAUGCUGUCAGCUUUGGUUAAAAAAAAAAAAAAAAAAAGCUCUUUGUGGUGGGUGUGAUGAUUUGAAUAUGCUUGGCCUAGGGAGUGGCACUAUUAGGAGGUAUGGCCUUGUUGGAGGAAGUGUGUUGUUGUGGCCAUGGGCUUUAAGACUCUCAUCCUAGAUGUAGACCUCUCAGCGCCUCCUAUACCAUGCCUGCCUAGAUGCUGCCAUGCUCCUGCCUUGUUGAUAAUGAACUGAACCUCUGAAUCUGUAAGCCAGCCACAGUUAAAUGUUAGCCUU
rnacentral:lncRNA from 1 species